rnacentral:rRNA from 1 species
UACGUAGGGAGCAAGCGUUGUUCGGAUUUACUGGGCGUAAAGGGCGCGUAGGCGGCAAUUCAAGUCAGCUGUGAAAUCUCCGGGCUUAACUCGGAACGGUCAGCUGAUACUGCUUUGCUAGAGUGCGGAAGGGGCAAUCGGAAUUCUCGGUGUAGCGGUGAGAUGCGUAGAUAUCGAGAGGAACACCUGAGGUGAAGACGGGUUGCUGGGCCGACACUGACGCUGACAGCGCGAAAGCCAGGGGAGCAAACGGG